rnacentral:tRNA from 1 species
GCGCGAGUGGCGGAAUUGGUAGACGCGCUAGCUUCAGGAGCUAGUAGGAGCAAUCCUGUGGAGGUUCAAGUCCUCUUUCGCGCACCA